rnacentral:rRNA from 1 species
AUUGAACGCUGGCGGCAUGCUUUACACAUGCAAGUCGAACGGCAGCACGGGGCGAACCCUCGUGGCGAGUGGCGAACGGGUGAGUAAUGCAUCGGAACGUAUCUUCAAGUGGGGAGUAACGCACCGAAAGGUGUGCUAAUACCGCAUAAUCUCUACGGAGAAAAGCAGGGGAGUCGCAAGACCUUGCGCUUUUGGUAGCGGCCGAUGUCUGAUUAGCUAGNGGUUGAGGUAAAGGCUUACCAAGGCUUCGAUCAGUAGCUGGUCUGAGAGGACGACCAGCCACACUGGGAC